rnacentral:rRNA from 1 species
UACGGGGGGGGCAAGCGUUGUUCGGAAUUACUGGGCGUAAAGGGCUCGUAGGCGGCCAACUAAGUCGGACGUGAAAUCCCUCGGCUUAACCGGGGAACUGCGUCCGAUACUGGAUGGCUCGAGUGUGGGAGAGGGAUGCGGAAUUCCUGGUGUAGCGGUGAAAUGCGCAGAUAUCAGGAAGAACACCCGUGGCGAAGGCGGCUCUCUGGGACGGUACUGACGCUGAGACGCGAAAGCGUGGGGAGCGAACAGG